UACGAAGGGGGCUAGCGUUGCUCGGAAUCACUGGGCGUAAAGGGUGCGUAGGCGGCUUUGUAAGUUAGAGGUGAAAGCCCGGGGCUCAACUCCGGAAUUGCCUUUAAGACUGCAUCGCUAGAAUUGUGGAGAGGUAAGUGGAAUUCCGAGUGUAGAGGUGAAAUUCGUAGAUAUUCGGAAGAACACCAGUGGCGAAGGCGACUUACUGGACACAUAUUGACGCUGAGGUGCGAAAGCGUGGGGAGCAAACAGG
rnacentral:rRNA from 1 species